rnacentral:snRNA from 18 species
AUACUUACCUUCUUGCGAUCACCCAGCUCAAAGAUUGGGUUGAUCUAUUUGGCUCUCCUGCAUUGCACAACGCGGUGAGGGCUGAAUACUGUUCUCCUUCGGGGGCACAGGCGGGGCAAUUUUUGCUGGACUGCUUUCGGAAAGCUGCU